CUGCAAGGAGGGGAGGACGUUUGGUGAGACAAAGCAGAAAUUUAAGCUUUUAAGGCUCACCUCUGUUGCAAACGCCGGCAAAUCAGGAACUUGACUUUCUCUCACGGGAGACUCUAGGACAGAAGUACCUAUGAACAAAGUGCGAGACGAAUCCAGCCAUCUAGAAAAAGAAAAAGAAAAAAAAGAGGAGGAAAAAUGAAGAAUUGGCUAAAUGCUCCCGGAGACUCGGAGUGUGAUGGGCUCCGCCUCAGGUCCCAGGUCCUCCACGAAGACCCUGAGCUCCCAGGAGUCAUCAAUAUACUCUCCGCUCGCUGUUUUUAUGCCAGCCAUGGUGGUCCUUAACAGAGAGAAGAAUGAAGGAUGAAGAGUUUCAAGAUAAUCCUAUUUCCACUGCUGGAAUGGCCUGGGAAUAACUCAGAUCUUCACCCAAUGGAAAAUCGAUGGAGCCGACUAAAGAAACUGGUUAGUCAGAAGCGACCCAGCAAUAAAACCCAGUUAAUAGAAGCCAUCCUUCAAUCUUGGUUUCACAUUAGAACAGCUGCAGAACUCAAAAGACUUGCUUUACUCCACGGGAAGACGUUGUAAGCAGUGGUGAAAUCCAAAUUUUUUUUUAACUACAGGUUCUGUGGGCGUGGUGUGACUUGGUGGGCGUGUCAGGGGAAGGAUACUGCAAAAUCCCCAUUCCCACCCCACUCUGGGGCCAGCCAGAGGUGGCAUUUGCGGGUUCUCCAAACUGCUCAAAAUUUCCGCUCUCGGUUCUCCAGAACCUGCUGGAUUUCACCCCUGGUUGUAAGGCCGUCAUUCACUCUAAAGGUUACCCAACUAUUAACUGACCUGGGGAUCAUUUUUUGUAUAUCUCCUUUUUUCUACGUGUUUCAAUUUUCCUCUUUGUACUGUAACGGCUAUUCUAAUAGCAAACCCCUUCAUAAAAGCUAUCGCAUUACAUUCUUGAUUAAAUCAUCUUUCCGUUGAUAUAUCAUUUGAUGGUACUACUCCAUCAUUUGAAAAAAAAUUCAUUAGCUAGUUUUAGAAAAUACACUUUCCCCAAAAGGUUUCCACAAUUUUGGCUACUACUGUUAUCUCUGAAUAAUGACUGCCGGGGGGGGAGGGGGGGGAAAUAAUGUUGAGACGCCUGCAGCCUUCCUAAAGGAAGGAGAUUGGAGAAAUGAACUGGAUUCGAGGCGUAAUUCAUCAAAUGCUUUUUUCCUCCGGCAACGAAUCCCAGCAUUCCACUGCUAGGAACUGCAUCUUCCUACAGCAUGGAGGGAAGUCCAAUCUUGCUGUAUUUUGCCCAUUUCUUCAGAAGCCGCAGUUUUAAGCUGCUGGCAAGGAAGCACGUGGCCAAAUGCGGUGUUUUUUCCCCCCCCAAGCUUACCAACUUUGAAGCAGUGUGGACUUCCAACUCCCAGAAUUCCCUGGCCGGCAUGGGAGUUGAAAUCCACAUAAGCUUAGAAGUUGCUGUGGUUGAGAAAAACUGGCUUGAUGGGGCCAGUGUGGGGAGAGCUUUUUCUCCGGUGGGGAGACAUAGAUUUAAGUUCGGUUUAAGGUUUUUACCCUGCAAGCAACAACCAAGC